rnacentral:rRNA from 1 species
GUAGUCCACGCCCUAAACGAUGUCGACUAGUUGUCGGGUCUUAAUUGACUUGGUAACGCAGCUAACGCGUGAAGUCGACCGCCUGGGGAGUACGGUCGCAAGAUUAAAACUCAAAGGAAUUGACGGGGACCCGCACAAGCGGUGGAUGAUGUGGAUUAAUUCGAUGCAACGCGAAAAACCUUACCUACCCUUGACAUGGUCGGAAUCCGCCAGAGAUGGUGGAGUGCUCGAAAGAGAACCGGCGCACAGGUGCUGCAUGGCUGUCGUCAGCUCGUGUCGUGAGAUGUUGGGUUAAGUCCCGCAACGAGCGCAACCCUUGUCAUUAGUUGCUACGAAAGGGCACUCUAAUGAGACUGCCGGUGACAAACCGGA